AACGCGAAGAACCUUACCCAGAUUUGACAUGCUUGUGAAACCUCAUUGAAAAAUGGGACCUCUCUUCGGAGACACUUGCACAGGUGGUGCAUGGCUGUCGUCAGCUCGUGCCGUGAGGUGUUGGGUUAAGUCCCGCAACGAGCGCAACCCUCGUCCUUAGUUGAAUUUCUAGGGAGACUGCCGGGAGAAACCUGGAGGAAGGUGGGGAUGACGUCAAGUCAUCAUGCCCUUUAUGUCUGGGGCUACACACAUGCUACAAUGGCCGGCACAACGGGUUGCCACUUCGCGAGAAGGAGCUAAUCCCUUAAAUCCGGCCUCAGUUCGGAUUGCAGGCUGCAACUCGCCUGCAUGAAGUCGGAGUUGCUAGUAAACGCAGGUCAGCAUACUGCGUUGAAUAUGUUCCCGGGCCUUGUACACACCGUAGUAC
rnacentral:rRNA from 1 species